GUCAAAGGUCAAUGUGGCCUCACGAAACAGGGUUGUUGUUUUUUUUUCUAAAAUGAAUCAAUUUCACGGCAAUGACUCGUGGGAUCAAAUGAUGGAGGCUUUGCAGGAGAGACGUGGCUGUGGAUCACCUGCCAGGUGGUAACUCAUUCAUUGUUUUGUUUUUUAUCCCAUUUGUUUCAUGUGCUUAAUAUUUCCCUCCUGUUUCAUGUGCACUUCCAUUUCUUGUGUCAACCCGUUUGAGUUUUUACAUUCGCUUUUUUUCUUUUUGCCAGUAUCCUCACCAACUUUGUUCUUGGAUCUCCUUUUGAGACACUAAGCAUGCACAGACACGUUUGUUGCUCAAGACAGCUCGCUGCAUAACAAUGACAGCAUAAGUACUACACCAGCGUGUGUUACUCAUUAGACAUUUAAUCACUUUUAACAACCAUGUGCUCGCAAGCAUUGUCAGUAUUUCAUGUCAAAAAGCAAGGAGCUCCCAACAGAUCUCUGAUGUGAGACCACAUGACGUGUUGCGUGUGUACAACAUUUAAUGCACUGCCAUUACCAAUCCAUCAACAGGUCUGCAGCCAGCCUUUGACUCUCUCACACACACACACACACACACACUCUGUGAAGCACACUGAGCUGUUGGUGAUAAAUCAAACACAAAGACGCCAUCGCUUCACGGUGACUUUACUUUAUCUUCAUGGCUUUUUUACUCAUUUGUUUCCCCCUCUGUGUUUGCAUUGUAUUUGUCCUUUCAUCCAGAUGCUCCCACCACAACCCCUACACCCACCACAGCCACAACCACUACCACCACCACCACCAUCACCACCAUCUCCUACCCUGAAGCCAAUCAAGACACUGCGCCCAGCACUGAACCUGCAGCUCAUGAUUCACGAGCCGGAGAAGGGGCGCCCAGAGCCGUGGACCACGCGGUGAUUGGGGGAGUGGUGGCCGUGGUCGUCUUCGCCAUGCUCUGUCUACUCAUCGUCUUGGGGCGCUACUUCGCGAGACACAAAGGUACCUACUUCACGCACGAAGCCAAAGGAGCGGACGACGCCGCGGACGCCGACACGGCCAUCAUCAACGCGGAGGGGGGCCACACCAACUCGGACGAAAAGAAAGAGUACUACAUCUAAUUCAAACAGGACCCCCUCCCUCUGGGGUCCUCUUUGGGACAACGAGGUGUCCUAUGGGGCCCGGGGGCAGGAGGGGGGUAGG